rnacentral:lncRNA from 1 species
GGGGAGGAAGUUGGAGGUGGCGGAGCGGAUCUCGGAGAAGUCGUAGAUUUGGGGGUUUUCAGGGAGGGAGGCUUUGAAGGAUCUGAGGGAGGGGACAGAGGAGGAGGUGGAGGAUUUGGAGAAGUUGUAGCUGGAGUUGUUGUCGUUGGUGCUGAAAUGGGCGAAGGAGGGGUCGGGGACAGAGGAGGAGGAGGAUUUUCGGUGUUGAUUGGGGCUCUUGGGCUCAAUCGCCUGCGUGCUCUUUUUGGUCCUGCACAUAGGGGCGGCGCCGCUGGCGGAGGAGGUGGCGGGGGCAGCGGCGACAACCAUAGCAGAAUUGGGAUUGGAA